AAGCUUUGGAUCUGGUUUAAGGAUUUUCAUGACGGCUUCUCGAACAGAAGGAUCAGUAAUUUGAGGGUUAAUUAUGCCUGUUCUAAUAUCAUUACAAAGAAGUUGCCAAUGCUUUUCCAGGAAACGGAUUGCCCGAAUGAAUCCGGAUGCAAAAACAGCACCUACACGGAGGACUUCGUUGCGUUGGCAAAGGCCACAAAGCAUUUGGGAAUACAUAGAUUGAUAAGAAUCAGGGCAAAGAAUGGAUUCAUCUGGGCUAGUGUAGUUAGUGUAAGGGUCAAAUAGCCUAUUCUUAAAGUGGGAGCUCUUGU
rnacentral:misc_RNA from 1 species